UACGUAGGGUGCGAGCGUUAAUCGGAAUUACUGGGCGUAAAGCGUGCGCAGGCGGUUGUGCAAGACAGAUGUGAAAUCCCCGGGCUUAACCUGGGAACUGCAUUUGUGACUGCACGGCUAGAGUGUGUCAGAGGAGGGUAGAAUUCCACGUGUAGCAGUGAAAUGCGUAGAUAUGUGGAGGAAUACCGAUGGCGAAGGCAGCCCCCUGGGAUAACACUGACGCUCAUGCACGAAAGCGUGGGGAGCAAACAGG
rnacentral:rRNA from 1 species